UCGUCUCCUACUAAAGAUGAGCAAAAAUGUACUUAUUGUGGUAAAAACCAUACUAUUGAUAAGUGUUGGAAACUUCAUGGACGACCUGCAUGGGCUGAUGAUUUGAUUGCCCAGAAACAUAGAAGCAGUGCUGCUCAUGUCACCACUCAAACCACUGGGGAUGAAUCAGGUGAUGUAACCACUAAGGAGGCCAAGCAAGGAUCUUCACACUCAGGAGGAGGUGGGUCGUGGUUUUAGGAGAGGGGAUUUAUGGUACUUUCAUGGUUCAAAUUCAGACAUUGUUGCACAUCAAGCUAAUAAGCAAGUUUUGGAGAAUGAGAAGAUGAUUUGGUUGUGGCAUCAACGGUUAGGACAC